rnacentral:rRNA from 1 species
UCAGAACGAACGCUGGCGGCGUGCUUAACACAUGCAAGUCGAACGAGAAAGUCCUUCGGGAUGAGUAGAGUGGCGCACGGGUGAGUAAUGAAUAGGAACAUACCUAUGGGUGAGGAAUAACUGCGGGAAACUGCGGCUAAUACCACAUAAGAUCGCAAGAUGAAAGAGGGCCUAUGCUUGCAAGCUCUCGCCGAUAGAGUGGCCUAUUUCCCAUUAGCUAGUUGGUAGGGUAAGAGCCUACCAAGGCGACGAUGGGUAGCUGGUCUGAGAGGAUGAUCAGCCACACUGGAACUGAGACACGGUCCAGACUCCUACGGGAGGCAGCAGUGGGGAAUCUUGCACAAUGGGCGAAAGCCUGAUGCAGCAACGCCGCGUGAGUGAAGAAGGCCCUUGGGUCGUAAAGCUCUUUCGGCUAGGAAGAAGGGGCUCCUGAAGAAACGCUGGAGCUUUGACGGUACUAGAAGAAGAAGCACUGGCUAAUUCCGUGCCAGCAGCCGCGGUAAUACGGAAGGUGCAAGCGUUGUUCGGAAUGACUGGGCGUAAAGGGCGCGUAGGCGGGUUCGUAAGUCAGUUGUGAAAGCCCUAGGCUUAACCUAGGAACAGCAAUUGAAACUGCGAGUCUUGAAUAUCUGAGAGGUUGGUGGAAUUCCAGGUGUAGGAGUGAAAUCCGUAGAUAUCUGGAGGAACAUCGGAGGCGAAGGCGGCCAACUGGCAGAAUAUUGACGCUGAGGCGCGAAAGUGCGGGGAGCAAACAGGAUUAGAUACCCUGGUGGUCCGCACCAUAAACGAUGGAUACUAGGUGUUUGGGGAGUUAACCCCCUGAGUACCAAAGCUAACGCAUUAAGUAUCCCGCCUGGGGAGUACGGUCGCAAGGCUAAAACUCAAAGGAAUUGAC